GAGUUUUGAUCCUCAUCAGAGCUGCAGUCAAGUAUGUCUCGAACAUCAGCUUCUGAACUAAGCUCCUUCUCCUGGCCUUAGCUACCUAAGACGCGCAUUUUGAGACAAGUAUCUCUUCACUUUGUGCCCCAGAAAUGGGACUCCCAAACCAUCUCAGCAGACUCUACACCCAUACAGAGAAGGUGUUCUCGUCAGAAGGAUUAAGGUGGAUUUCAUUCUUCUGGGAUUCUCCCCAUCAGUCUUUAAAGGCAGAAGCAACAAAGAGCUUAUGUUUCACCUCAGAACGUAGAAACACAGAAGGAAAUACUACAACUGGAAAUGUUAAAUGUCAUCCCUGGGAAAUGGGCUCCACCAAUUUGAAGAAGGACGUCUAAUCCUAACUUGAAGAAUGAGAGAAUAUGCUUCCAAUUUGAGCUUUCACUAUUCACUCUUCAGCUAAUCGGAUAGUGAUUUGGCAUCAGAAAACGGGAAGAAAUUGAGUGGGAGCAGAGUACAUCUGCCCCAAGACUCCUUUUGGGUGGUCAGGAGGAGAGAAGAGCAUUGCAAAUUUGCAAAGAAUCCUCCAUGGACCCAAAAGGACAGUGUUCCAGACUCAGCUACAUUCUAGGUGGGUUUUUAUAACUUAAAGUAUUCAAAAUACUAACAUUUCAGCAAUGGCUGCUGAACAUUUGCUGAGCCCUCAGCUCAGACGUACUGACUCCCAAAGAAGUUCUAUGAGCAGAAGACAUUCACUAGAGCAUCUACUGUAGCCUUUUAUAAUUUAACAUGGUCUGGUACUGCCCUUUCUCACAUUGCAUUUAUUUUUAGCCAAAACUGGUGUGGUCCUAAAGCCACCCCUACUGAACCCCUUCCAAGGCAGGAUGGACAUGGUGUAGUCCCUGCUGUCUGCUUUUCCAUUAGUCUUUGUUCACUGCAUGUGAAACCACUUGCCAGCAAAGCUACACUAAUAUAAUACCAACAGAACCACCCCAGUGGAAGCAUUUUGAUGAGCAAAAUAACAUAUCAGCAAAAAGACUUACUUUCCCUCCCUGAUACGGUUCUGUCUACCUCAGGCAAUUAUUUUCAUGCAUCUGACUGACAUAGCAAAGAUGGCAAAACUCUUUGCAUAGACAAGAAGUCCUGAGGGGGGAACAGAAUAUUCUCUGUUGGCUCUGGUUGCAUCUGUGUUGUCUCUCUGGGCUGGCUGCUUGCAUGAGGGAGUUUGCUUUUAGAGUUGUAUUACUGGAGAUGUGGUGCAGAUGUCAUUAUCAUUUUUAAAUUCUUUCCAAAUAUUGCUUAUUUAAAAAUAGCACUAGGGUCUAGAACUUCCUUAUGCUACAGGAAAUAAAGAGUAAGCCAAAAAAGUGCUUUGAGAAAGAUCAACAGAUAGCCAAAGGACUGUCAGGAUUUGACCACUGGGACAUUUUCACUGAAAGAAGACCUUUUUGAAGGACAGACUCCAUUGGAGAGGCUGUGGAAAAAGCCUUCUGAAAGUAAGCCUGGCAGAACUGAUAAGCAGAGCUUUCAGCAGAGAAAUGAAGGCUACAGAGUCAGAGACUUGAAUAAUCUCCAUGUGCCCAUCAAACGCCAGAGGAGAAAGCCUAGGUACGUGAGGAUGUGCCAAAGGAUGAAGACAUUUCAGUGUUCAGAAUGGUGAAGAAUAAGAAGAAAGGAAGUGUAAAGUGUGAUGAGAGCUCUUUCAUGUUGGCAAUACAUUGUCAGGAGCAGGUCCUAACAAAGCUGUGGUAUGGGGCACAGGAAUAUUUAACAACAUUAUAUGUACCCAAAGAAAUAGAAAACGAUGAACUAAACUGUCAGGUCAUUAAGCGGGACAGGCAUAUAUGCUGGUAGCACAGCAGAACAGCAAUCAUGGCUGGAACACUGGUCUCAAAGUGUAUGCGUUACCCAGAAAGGCAGAGAUAAAGGUGAAGUUUGUGGCAGAGAACCAAGUAUUAAUGAUAUGAAAAUCUAAGAAGAAGAACGUGUAGAAGGGAUAGCAUUUGCUCCAGUUGAAAUGAUUUCAGGAAAAAUGGCAAAAGAGAGUACUUGGAAUUUACAUCUCCCCUGAUUUGAUUCUGGUUGUGGGUAAAGUAAGCAUUAGAGGAAGAAGUCCUUUCGGGUUAGUAUCAUGCAGGGAAAUUCUUACCUUCCCAAAUACAGAUUGAAAAAUAAAUGCCACUAAUAAUGAUAGAAUACAGACAUUUCUGGAUGUAGUAGUCAGCAAAUUUCUUAAUAAAAUCAUCAGUAAGGAGUGAUGCUCUUUCAGACUUGCUUUUGGUAACUGAUGAUUGUAGC
ensembl:lncRNA